CCAGGUGAUCUACGGCCUCCGUGGCCAGAUCUCAGCGAGAUCCGUAAGCUCCGAUCUCGUCUCCAGUUUUUCAGGCUCCUCCUCCUCCGACAACGGCAGUCGGUAUGGAGCAGUUCGACCUGCUGGUUCAGCAGGUCAGGGGCCUCACCGAAGUAGUGCAGGCCAUGCAGCAGUAGCAGCAGCUGCAGGCAUCUGUGCGGCUGGAAAGAGCAUCAUCGGAGUUUCAGAAUCCAAC
rnacentral:lncRNA from 1 species